AGUACUGCGAGUGAGCGGGAAAGCUCAAAUUUAAAAUCUGGCAGUCUUUGGCUGUCCGAGUUGUAAUUUAGAGAAGCACUGCCGGCGCUGGACUGUGUACAAGUCUCCUGGAAUGGAGCGUCAUAGAGGGUGAGAAUCCCGUAUAUGACACAGUUGCCAGGGCUUAGUGGCCUGCUCUCCAAGAGUCGAGUUGUUUGGGAAUGCAGCUCAAAAUGGGUGGUAAAUUCCAUCUAAAGCUAAAUACAGGCGAGAAACCGAUAGCGAACAAGUACCGUGAGGGAAAGAUGAAAAGAACUUUGGAAAGAGAGUUAAACAGUACGUGAAAUUGUUGAAAGGGAAACGCUUGAAGUCAGUCACAUUGCUGGAAAUCACACUUGCUUUCAUUGCUUGUGGCUCUUUCCUAGUAAUGGGUCAGCAUCAGUUUUGAUUGUUGGACAAGGGUUGGAGGAAUGUGGCAUCCUUGGAUGUGUUAUAGCCUCUGAUCAUAUGCAAUGAUGGAGACUGAGGAACUCAGCACUUUGUGCUUAAGAUGCUGGCAUAAUGGCUUUAAUCGACCCGUCUGAAAA
rnacentral:rRNA from 1 species